AUACUCAAAGCAGUUGAAAUAUGUAUUUCAAAUACAAGUAAUUGAAAUACUGCCCAUCUCUGAGUGUAAGCAGGUGGUUUGCGUGAAAGACAAUGUGGGGGCGGAGUCCAGCCCGCCCGCCGGUUUAGACAUCGUGACACACCUGUGUUGCAUUAAUCAAUUGGUAACGGGAAUAUAAUGGGUUCGCUUGUGUAGAAACGGGAGGUCAGGGACAGGGGAAGAGCUCCAUCCCCAAGAGAAAGGGCGGCAGAAGGCCGAGCGACCCAGGCCCUGCUGCGAGAAUGGAGCCGCCUUUGCCAGGAGCGAGGACUGCUAUGCCGUGAGGUAUGUGAUGGCAAGACUUUUGAAAAAGUUAAGCAAGUGGUCGUGCCUCACUGUCUGCGGAAGCAGGUCCUAGAGUGGCUGCAUGACCGGGCGGGUCACUUGGGGGCGGAGAAAGUGCUGGGUCUGGUGCGUCUGCGCUUCUUCUGGCGAGGCCUGGCCAAGGACGUGGAGGUGUACUGUGCCAAGUGCAUGAGGUGCAAUCUACGGAAGACCCCCACUACCAAAGGCCUGACGAUGGGGGACGGGCUGCCGCGGCCCCGGAUACCAACAAGGACCGUAGCCGAUGCAUGUAUCCUUGGGUGUGGGGUGCUGCCGGACCUGCAGGACAACCUAUAAGGGCCGAGAUGGAACCUUCGCAGGACUCUCAGGGAUCAACCCCCAACACAGCUCCAUCAGUUGGGGUUGGUCUGGCUUCACCGCCAGCCCUGGGCCCCUCACUUCCUGACACGGAGGGCCCACGUCGCUCUACUCGCAACACCAAGGGUCAACUACCCCAACGCUACCAAAUGGGAUCUGUGUGUUCUGGGAAUGUGAGGACACAUUUGAUGUAGGGGGGGUGGAUGUAAGCAGGUGGUUUGCGUGAAAGACAAUGUGGGGGCGGGGUCCAGCCCGCCCGCCGGUUUAGACGUAUUUAGACGAAUAUAAUGGGUUCGCUUGUGUAGAAACGGGAGGUCAGGGACAGGAGAUACUGCUGAGCUCCAAGCCGAGGGCUGCCGUGCCAGGACGUGGGUGAGUGCUGUAUACCCGUCGUAUUACUAAUUCGCUAUGAGAUUGAUACUAAGUGCGUUGGCUUAGAUAGCUGACCGUUGCGUGUUGCGAUCACUGGUCUGUGUACCUCCGAUAUACCCCACGUCCGGCGGUCGCGGCGAGGAGGCCAGCGUAUCAGGUAGUAUUCUGUUGCCAUUCAUGUCUUGUUGUUUUCCGGGGAAUUGUGUUCCCCGGCGGGUUUCUUUAUGUAUGUCAGUGCGUGUGCAUGUGUGAGCAGGAAGAAGAGCAAGCUCAUAUUCUGGGCAAAGUGCCGUGUCUGUACAGAGGAAUAGGAGGGGAUAUACUUUGCCUUGGCUUGCUGUGCUUAUGGGUUGCUGUGGAUUCCUUCUGGCUCUUGAUGUGUAUUUUAUCACUGACAUUAUGAUUGGGAUGAAUUUAACUUGUUUUAUCUGAUUGUACUUUGCCCAUCUGAAACACUGAUGAAUUUGCUGUGUAUUUAUUGCUAAUUUAUAUAUCCAUCUGUUCCUGUGUAUAGGCCUAUAUCCUUCAUGCUAUUUAUCUAUUUAUUAAUCAGCACUUUGCACUUUACAUCGAUGUGAUGCUUGUUUUGGCCACUGCUCUCACCCCAAGAUGCUUUUAGAAAGUAUAAUAUAAAGAGAAAUAAAAGUCCUUGCUUUUCCCUA